GCAACGCCUAAAUAUUCCCACGCCUUCCGAUAUUCUAAGUCAAUUCAACUGUGAAAGAAAAAGAUGCAUUUCCCCCCCACACACUCCCGUUAGAGUAGCUGCCUGGGUGUGUUUUUAUUUCAAUUUUUCACCAACAGCUACGCUCUAGGUAGGUUCUACCCACUUCACGCGCUGUAAAUUGGAAGCAACGGGAAACAUACCAUUCGUUACUGACUUUGUUUUUAUGACCCAUCAUCGCACCCGGUGAUGGCCGGGUGCGAUCGUGUUCAAACACGGGAGUCGAGCCGGUAAAUCCACAAUAUGCUUGGUGGGUCAAUGGUCGCUGGGUUUGAUUGUCGGCGACCGAUUCCAAGGCUCAAUUGUAAACCUGUAAAGGUUUUGUUUUUGAUCUAAAAUGUCGUACUGGACGUUGACUAAAACAACAUCCGUACGGUGUCCUGGUUUCGCGGGGCAGCGACCGCGCAGCGAUGCGUUUGUUUUGUUUUCCAUGAUCGUAUAUGUUGGGUCCGGUUGGUUUGGUGCAGCUCUGAUUACGCUCGGUGGGCCGUCGAUAGGAAUGCCAUGGAACGGAUACCCUAUCGAUCGCGCUAGAAUGUUGCGAAAAUCAAGGCUCCGUAUUGGCCGCAUAUGGCUUUAGGUAGCCAAAAUUGUUUUUGUUUUGAAAUCAAGGCGCGGUUUCAGGUAGCCUAGAUUGUUUUGGUUUUGAAAUCGAGGCACUGUAUCUGCCGAGAAUGGUUUCAGGUAGCCGUGAUUGUUUUCACUUGGUUCGAUUUUUGAACCCAGGUGAACCAUAAAAGGAAUGUUGAAAAUCGAAAUCGUACUGGCGGCAUAGGGGCGCCGGAAUUGUUUUGUACUCGAUUUUGUUUUGACUUCGAGUAAAAGAAUGUGGGGUAUAAUUUCAACGAACAUCCGCGGCCGAGCCCGGCUAGGGGUCAUUGUGCACAAGCAAGGGUACAUUUGAAUAACAAGGCGGUUGCUUUGUUUUGAAGAAUUGGGUGCCAAGUCCGAAAGAUGAUGGCGCUAAGAAUGAUGAUAAUGAUGAUGAUGAUAAUGAUGAUGAUAAUGAUGAUGAUAAUGAUGAUGAUGACGAUGAUGACGAUGAGGAUGAUGGUGAAGAUGACGAUAUGACACGCCCAAGCAUUGAAGAUGCCCAAGUGAGGCGGGGCUAGACGAUGUAGGCCUUCGGGUAAAGAUUCUUAGAAGGGGUUUUUGCGAACACGCCCAAGUCAGGCGUGGUUAGGAAAUUAGGUUUUUUUUAUCAGAACUAGGAUUUUUGGUAGGGCUUGGGAUACGCCCAAGACACGGCUAGGCUUGGGAUACGCCCAAGAGAAAAGAGAUUUUUCAAGAAGAGAAAGAUGUAAAACACGAUGUGGACAAGUAGGAAAGGUAGAAGGUUUUGGGACGUUUUAGUAUUUAUAUUUUUUUAGGUUUUUGGACACGCCCAAGAUGGGUUGGGCAACGUUAGGAAUUUUCGUGACUUAUUCGGGUAUUGCUAGGAAAUUUAGGCUAUAAAUACGGAGGUUUUGGCUUCAGUCGGGAGCAGUUGUUGAAGAACAGAGUAAUCGAGGAGAGUUCGACGUUAGAGUUGUUGAAGAACGGAGUUGCUGAGUUCAAAGACAGUCAGUGAGACAGUGGGUCAGUUUCAACGCUAGAGUGUUCAAUCUUGGUUCAGAAAAGACAGUAGUUGUAAAAGUUCAGUUUUUCAACGUAAGAGUAAAAGUCCAGUUCGGUUCAGUUUUUUUAACUUCGGUGAAGAAAUACAGAAAGGUGAUAUAAGAAAAAAAAUUGAAUCAUUGUAAUAUAAGUUAAGUGAUGGUUUGUGAUAUUUCAAUAUAGAUUAUUAAAAAGA